UACGAAGGGGGCUAGCGUUGCUCGGAAUCACUGGGCGUAAAGCGCACGUAGGCGGCUUUCUAAGUCAGGGGUGAAAUCCUGGAGCUCAACUCCAGAACUGCCUUUGAUACUGGAGAGCUUGAGUCCGGGAGAGGUGAGUGGAACUGCGAGUGUAGAGGUGAAAUUCGUAGAUAUUCGCAAGAACACCAGUGGCGAAGGCGGCUCACUGGCCCGGUACUGACGCUGAGGCACGAAAGCGUGGGGAGCAAACAGG
rnacentral:rRNA from 1 species